UUCAAUAAAUAGAUCAAGAAGUGACUGAAGUGUUGAUAAAUAGAGGUCUAUAUUAUAUAUUAUUAAAAUUAUAAAAUUAUAGAUCUAAUUGUGAGAUUUAGAUUAGGUUAAGACUUUAGAUUUAGAUUAGAGAUAUAAAAUUUGUACAGUCGUUGUUAUGUUAUAGAAUAUUAUAGGUCUAGUCAAAGCUAGAUUAGAUCUCUCUGUAUCUAGUAGUAGUAGUAUAACUAAAGACUCCAGAGAUUGAAAUCUAGACGAUCAAAAUGUAAUCUACUUGAAUCAAGCUUUAUCCUGUUACC